UGGGGUAUCGCCAAGCGGUAAGGCACAGGAUUCUGAUUCCUGCAUGCGGAGGUUCGAAUCCUCCUACCCCAGCCA
rnacentral:tRNA from 1 species